CUAUCCCCAGACCAUUUGACUCCCUAAUUAUUUAUCGUAUCCUUUUUAUUUAUCCUUUUUCGUUAGCGGUUCAAAACUCCUUAUCUUUCUCAUUCACUACUCUUUAUACAAAUGGAUCUGAACGGAAAUACUGUUCUGUUAUCACAUCACAAUGGAAUAUUAUACAUGUACAAAUGAACAUCUUUGAGCAAGGAAUCCCCAUUUGAAUGAUAUUUUUUUAUUCAGACUGAAACUUAAACUUACAAAGUUGUUCUUUUGACAAAUUAUAGGACCUGCAUGAGACUUUGUAAUACCCGUUCAAUUGACAUAGAAGCAUGUUCUCUAGUAAAAUGAAAAUGAGGAUGAGACAUCAGGAAUAG
rnacentral:misc_RNA from 1 species